rnacentral:rRNA from 1 species
GACGAACGCUGGCGGCGUGCUUAACACAUGCAAGUCGAACGGAAAGGCCCUGCUUUUGUGGGUUUCUCGAGUGGCGAACGGGUGAGUAACACGUGAGUAACCUGCCCUUGACUUUGGGAUAACUUCAGGAAACUGGGGCUAAUACCGGAUAGAAGCUCCUGCUGCAUGGUGUUGGUUGGAAAGUUUCGGCGGUUGGGGAUGGACUCGCGGCUUAUCAGCUUGUUUGUGGGGUAGUGGAUGACGAAGGCUUUGACGGGUAGCCCGCCUGGGAGGGUGACCGGCCACCUGGGUACUGCGAUACGGCCCAGAAUCCUACGGGAGGCAGCGGGGGGGAGCAUUGCAGAAUGGGGGGACGCCUGAUGCAACAACGUCGCGUGCGUGAUGCCGGCUUUCGGGUUGUAAACCGAUUUCGCAUGUGACGAAGCGUGAGUGACGGUAAUGGGUAAAGAAGCACCGGCUAACUACGUG